GACGAACGCUGGCGGCGUGCCUAAUACAUGCAAGUAGGACGCAGUUGCGAACGUGUGAGUAACGCGUAGGUAACUGCCUAUUAGAGGGGGAUAACUAUUGGACACGAUAGCUAAUACCGCAUACUAGUAGAUGGACCUGCGUUGUAUUAGCUAGUAGGUAGGGUAAGGGCCUACCUAGGCGAUGAUACAUAGCCGACCUGGGAGGGUGAUCGGCCACACUGGGACUGAGACACGGCCCAGACUCUUACGGGAGGCAGCAGGAGGGAAUCUUCGGCAAUGGGGGGAAGCCUGAACGAGCAACGCCGCGUGAGUGAAGAAGGUUUUCGGAUCGUAAAGCUCUGUUGUUAAGGAAGCGGUACUUAACCAGAAAGGGACGGCUAACUACGUGCCAGCAGCCGCGGUAAUAC
rnacentral:rRNA from 1 species